rnacentral:sRNA from 1 species
AGGCUGGAGCCCUCUGCUUGGGAGCUGCUUUUUUCUGCCACAGUGUCAGUUGUCAUGCCCUAGCGGAGUGCCCGAGGGGAGGGGCAGGAGGCCCCUUGGAUGGGCUGGCACUGCGCCCCUGCUGCUGUCAGAGUGACUCAGAUCCCCUCCUGGCACCAGCCUGCUCAGGCAGUGCAAGCUGUUCCUUUGGCUCCUGGAGACUGGGCUGGUUCUUCACUUCUUUCUCCCCUAGGACUGAGGCCAGGGAGGAGGGGUGCAGAUUUCUGUGUUUCCACCCUUUUCUCUUCUCCCCGCACAGGGGUGCGAGAGGAGGAAGUGGAUGCUGCAGUGCUGGGCUCUGGGUUCAUUCCCUGUGAUUCCUCUGGGCUGCCCCGAGUCCUGCUCAGCACACACACAACAGGACACCAGGCGUGCUGGACAAAUGACCAGGCAGUGUGGUACUUGAAUGCAAGGGUUUCCUGAAAAGUUACCAUCAAAAACUGGGUCAGGUGGACAAAUGCAGAUGGAGCAUCAGCAGUGAUUUCCUCUGAGACUAAUGACAUGCCCUAAGAUUGUUCAGCACAGAGAGGACUUAAGCCACAGAAGGGAAAAGAAACGUUGAAAUCAGCCAAGGGAAGAAGCACAUAGGGUGGAGUCUAGGAAUAAUUCAAAAUGUGGAGAUCCAGCUGGGCACGGUGGCUCACACCUGUAAUCCCAGCACUUUGGGAGGCAGAGGCAUCUUCCUGGAGACAGGUAGGCACUGUGGAAUCAGCAGUGCGUAGAACAGUGAGGAAUUAGGGCUGAACCCAGCCCAGGUGGGACAAGCCCUGGCACCAGCCGACUGCAGUCUGAUGGAACUUCCCCUUCCUGCCCAGCAGAUGGCGAGCGUGUGCUGCUGGUGCCUCUUUCCAAAGGAUGUUGAAUUGUUUGACAGGUGUUCUUUACUUUAUGAAUGAAACCAGAGCAGCCCACCUUCCUGCAUCUCUACCACCAUGGCACCAUGCCCUGUGAAGGGUGAGCUGGAGUCAAAUACGUAGCAGGCAGCCAGGGUCAGUUUGUGGCCACUGCUGCCUCCUCUUCCUAUGGUCUCCUCACUGAGUGCCCCUUCCCUGUUGGGUUCAACAUGUCUAUGCUCCUGUAAGCCCUCAGCCUCCUCGUUCUCUUCCUCAACUUCUACCACCAGACACACCUGAGAGGCAAGCAAGAGAGGCUAAACUAGGAGCAGGACCCAGGGACUGAAACCAGCACAGCAUCCCCACAGAGAAUUGGGUGGAAGGCAGCAUGGCUUCCAGCUUACUGGUGCCGAGCAGAUUCCCCUGGGUCUCCAUUGUAUCCUCUGAAGGAAGGAGGAGGAUUGCCUUCUGUCCAGAUCUCAGGAUCAAACAAAUAGGUCCAACUUCCUGUGCUCACUUCAGUUAGAGCACUUCUCAUGUGACUUUGUAGCUUUGUGUGCAUCUCCUUCCUCUACUAGACCUAAGCCCCUCACUGGAAGGACUCUCUUAUUCUUGAUGUUCCCCACAUCUGGAAUUUCAAUAAACAUCUCAAUAAA